UUCUUUCUUCCUUCUUUUCUUUUCUUUCUUCCUUUUUCUUUCUUUCUUUUCUUUCCCUCCCUUCCUUCCUCUCUCUCUUUCUUUUCUUUUUUCUUUCUUUCUUUUCUUUCUUUCUUCCUUUCUUUCUCUCUUUCUUUCUGUCUGUCUGUCUUUCUCUCCCUCUCCCCCCUCCCCUUUCUUUCUUUCAGGAAGAAAUCUUUGCAGGCAGUGUCACACAGAGAGAAGGCUUGGUGUACAGCAGCUGUGUGGGUGCCCUCGUGUGAACCCCGCCCCAGGGGUUCCUGCUGCCCGCACAGCUGGAGAGCUGCACCACCCUCAGAGGUCCUGGGUCCAAGCCCGCAGGCUGCCGCCGGCUGGAGAAGCAAGGGCAGUGCCCUGAAAGCUGCAGUCAGGGGUCUUCUCAGGACACGGCUGGAAGGAAGGCGAGAACCCCUGGAUCUGAAUAGUCCGGAGCAGGCAUCAAGAUCCACUGUCAACAUUGCAAGGCUUGGAGCAGAUGGAGGGUCAUAUACCACAGGCCAAACUAUUUACAAGAGUUAAACUAAAAACUGGAAGUAACAGAAGUUCUCCCCUUCUAUUUGACCAUUAUUUUUUCAAAAGUGCUUGGAGUUAGGUUAUAAGAAAACAUGGAUAUGACCUUAGAUCCAGCAAUGGUUUCUUAACGGCGACACCAAAGGCAGGAAGAAAGGCACAAAUAGAUACAUUUUACAUCACCAUAAAAAUGAAAUGCAGAGUUCCCUUCAU
rnacentral:lncRNA from 1 species